rnacentral:rRNA from 1 species
GACGAACGCUGGCGGCGUGCUUAACACAUGCAAGUCGAACGGAAAGGCCCUGCUUUUGUGGGGUGCUCGAGUGGCGAACGGGUGAGUAACACGUGAGUAACCUGCCCUUGACUUUUGGCUAACUUCAGGAAACUGUGGCUAAUAACGGAUAGUAGCUCCGCCUGCAUUGUUGUGGUUGGAAAGUUUCGGCGGAUGUGGAUUUACUCGCGGCUUAUCAGCUGGUUGGUGGGGGAGUGGCUUACCAAGGCUUUGUCGGGUAGCCGGCCUGAGAGGGUGACCGGGAAAAUUGGGAGUCAGCUACGGCAGAGAGUACUAAGGGAGGCAGGAGUGGGGAAUAUUGCACGAUGCGCGGAAGCCGGAUGCAGCAACGCCGCGUGAGGGAUGACGGCCUUCGGGUUGUCAACAGCUUUCGCAUGUGACGAAGCGUGAGUGACGGUACUGGGUAAAGAAGCACCGGCUAACUACGUG